GAACCUGGCUGUGGACAUAAAGCUAGGGUUGAGGUUAGAGUUGAACCUGGAUGUGGACAUGAAGCUAGGUUUGAGGUUAGAGUUGAACCUGGCUGUGGACAUAAAGCUAGGGUUGAGGUUAGAGUUGAACCUGGACAUGAAGCUAGGGUUGAGGUUAGAGUUGAACCUGGCUGUGGACAUGAAGCUAGGAAUGAGGUUAGAGUUGAACCUGGCUGUGGACAUAAAGCUAGGGUUGAGGUUAGAGUUGAACCUGGCUGUGGACAUGAAGCUAGGGUUGAGGUUAGAGUUGAACCUGGACAUGAAGCUAGGGUUGAGGUUAGAGUUGAACCUGGCUGUGGACAUGAAGCUAGGGUUGAGGUUAGAGUUGAACCUGGCUGUGGACAUGAAGCUAGGAUUGAGGUUAGAGUUGAACCUGGAUGUGGACAUGAAGCUAGGAAUGAGGUUAGAGUUGAACCUGGCUGUGGACAUGAAGCUAGGAAUGAGGUUAGAGUUGAACCUGGACAUGAAGCUAGGGUUGAGGUUAGAGUUGAACCUGGCUGUGGACAUGAUGCUAGGGUUGAGGUUAGAGUUGAACCUGGCUGUGGACAUGAUGCUAGGGUUGAGGUUAGGACACACUACUUCUGAACAGUUUGAAUUCCUUCCC